UACGACUACAUAUCAGGCAUAUCAAUAAGCGGAGGAAAAGAAACUAACAAGGAUUCCCUUAGUAACGGCGAGUGAAGCGGGAAGAGCUCAAAUCUGAAAUCUUCAAGGUUCUACCUUGACGAAUUGUAGUUUAAAGAAGUGUUUUCUGUUAGUGGAGUGGCAAAAGUUCUCUGGAAUAGGACAUCAUAGAGGGUGAGAAUCCCGUAUUUGGUCAUUCCUUCUAGCUUUGUGAUACACUUUCAAAGAGUCGGAUUGUUUGGGAAUGCAGUCCAAAAUGGGUGGUAAAUUUCAUCUAAAGCUAAAUAUUGGCGAGAGACCGAUAGCGAACAAGUACCGUGAGGGAAAGAUGAAAAGAACUUUGAAAAGAGAGUUAAACAGUACGUGAAAUUGUCAAAAGGGAAGCGUUUGACACCAGUGUUGUUUUUCCGAAAAUCAAUUACGAAUGGCGGGAUUCUAAGUUUCAUGACCUUGAAAGCUUGUUUCUUUCUUUUCCUGUCUUUCUUAAUGCACUUUUCGGUUAACGAGUCAACAUCAAUUUCUUUUGUUGUAAAAGGGUAUUUGGAAGGUGGCUUUCUUUUCGGAGAAAGUGUUUAUAGCCUUAUACCUCUACAAUCGGAGAGAUUGAGGUCUGCAGCGUAGAUCCUUCGGGGUUAGAUACAUUGGUGCUAAGCUAUAGCCUUGUAUAGACAACUUGUUGACUAUGCUCAGUCAUGUAGCUUACUCGCUGAUGCUAUUUUACCUACGCUUAGGAUGUUGAUCUACAGAGCGAGAGU
rnacentral:rRNA from 1 species